UGUCCAGGGAUGGGAAUCGAACCCACAGUGUUCCGCUUACCGGGCAGAUUCCAUGUCCACGGAAAAAUAUGUCCAGGGUAGCCUAGUGGAC